GCGUUGGUGGUUUAGUGGGUAGAGCCUAAGGCUUGUGAGCAGAAGGUUCCCAGUUCAAAUCUCGCCAAAGUCA
rnacentral:tRNA from 1 species